CGAAUCACAGCUCGAUGGGCACGAGCGCACUGCAAGAGGCGGUGAGGUUGGAGGUUCGAGUCCUUCUGAUUCGG
rnacentral:tRNA from 1 species